AUCGCUUCUCGGCCUUUUGGCUAAAGAUCAAGUGUAGUAUCUGUUCUUAUCAGUUUAAUAUCUGAUACGUCCCCUACCCGGGGACCAUAUAUUAAAUUGAUUUUUGGAACUGGGAGAUGGAAAAGGGGCUUGCCCGUCCACUCCACACAUCGAUCGACCUGGUAUUGCAGUACCUCCAGGACCGGUGCACCCUCU
ensembl:snRNA U2 U2 spliceosomal RNA